UAGCUUCAGCGAUGGAUCGGUCGAUUCGCGUAUCGAUGAAAAACGCAGCUAGCUGCGCUAUUUACCACGAAUUGCAGACGCUUAGAGUGGUAAAAUUUUGAACGCAUAGCGCCGUUGGGUUUUCCCUUCGGCACGUCUGGUUCAGGGUUGUUAAUGAAACUACUACAGUGUGGCUAGUUUAUAACACUGUUUGUCGAAUGGUAUUUAUUACUUUAUUGUGAUAAUUCCCAUUCCAGUUCAAGAAUAUGAAAUGCAACAUGACGUUAACAUUGUUAACGUUACUGAAUGAUACUGAAUAUAUUACCACUAUUUGAAUGUACUCAAUGAAUAUGAGAUUGAUUCAAAUAGGGACAUGUAUGGUAUUGUAUAUUCGAUGUAUCAUUUAUAUAUUGCAACCUGAACUCAGGCGUGAUUACCCGCUGAACUUAAGCAUAUCAUUUAGCGGAGGAAAAG
rnacentral:rRNA from 1 species